UACGGAGGGUGCAAGCGUUAAUCGGAAUUACUGGGCGUAAAGCGCGCGUAGGCGGCUCGGUCAGUCGGGUGUGAAAUCCCUGGGCUCAACCUGGGAACUGCAUUCGAUACUGCCGAGCUAGAGUGUGGGAGAGGGUAGUGGAAUUCCCGGUGUAGCGGUGAAAUGCGUAGAUAUCGGGAGGAACAUCAGUGGCGAAGGCGACUGCCUGGCCCAACACUGACGCUGAGGUGCGAAAGCGUGGGUAGCAAACAGGAUUAGAAACCCCCGUAGUCC
rnacentral:rRNA from 1 species